CUUCUGGCUGACCGCGCUAGGCACGCUGGGACGUGUAGUCUCUGGGACACUCCCCCCAGCGGGCCCCAGGAGAUGGGGGAAGGGAAAUUGCCUCGGGAAUGUUCAAUCUCUUUCACUAUCUCCAAGAUGCCCCUAUGUAUGAGGUUGCAUACAUACAAUAGUUCAAAGGGGAAGACUCUGGUGGAUGCCUGAGGAACCUCACGAAUGGCGAACAUGAGAUAAGAUCAACUCAGCUCACUAUUGACAAUCUAGAAAAGGCCUGGGACAGCAGCACUGAAGAGACCAUCCCCACA